UUCCAUUAAUACUUUUUUUAAGAACCUUUUUUAUUAUUUCUACCAACUUAAGUUCGGUCUUUGGCUAAGAGAGCGUGUUUUUAUUUUCAUCUGAUACCAAAAAUUCGCAUGCAAUUUUAGGGCGAGACAGUAUUACGCAGUGGCGUAGCUACCUAGGGGUUAGGCGGGGCAGUGCCCCGGGGCCCCCAAGCUCAGGGGGCCCUCGAUUCCUUACCAGAAAUCUCGAUCAAACUGAACUUUUGGAAAUUUCACCUAUUUUCAAAAUAAAUAUGACAGGCUGCAACCCCACUUUAAUCAUGACAACUCAGUUGAGAUAAAUUAAAAUGUUAUGUUUAGGGAAUUCCCCUAAAUUCUUUCUGUAGGUUGCCAGUGUUGUCAAUUUGACGGAUGGUGAUAUGUGCGUUUUAUUAUUCAUCGAUGUGCGUUUUAUUCUGAAUUCGAGUUAAGUUUUUUUUUUCGAGAACGGUUAAAAAAUUAAUACUGUAUCAGGAGUAAGCUCGUAGAGGCCGCGCGGUGCGCUACCAACACGCUAGCGCGCUGCCAAGGAGAUAAGAUACACCGAGUGUAUCGCGUCCCGACCCGGCAGGCUGGUUCUGGUCCAGCGGGGCAUUCCGGGACACCAGCGGCACCGUCAGGGCGGCCUGACGGGCUGCCGUACCCAGACGGCUGACAGAGCCUUCGAGGCGAAUCGAAGGCUCUGAAACGUCGGCCGGGCGUCCUUGAGCUGAGCUGCGCCGCGCCGUCUGGUUGUAGUGACCACGGUAACCCCCCUACCUCAUCCGGGUUCUGACCUCGGAGGGGAUCGGACGCUUGUGCGAAGAGUGCAGGGGAGUAGUUUAGUGGGUAGGGCCCUGAAAACAUCCUUGGUCUCACAGUCGCGGACCAGUCCCACAUACCGCGCGCGCCCCCUAGGCGUGGAGACCUCGUAGAAGGUUCGGACCCAGCCCGAAAAAAAAGGCCCUGAAUCUUCUCUAUUUCGUUUUAUUAGCCUAACCUACACCAAGUAUUAAUUAUAAUUUAUGUUGCUACUGUUUAAUAUUUUUAUUACCUGCCCUGCAGUGCACAAAAAAGAGCUUAAUGUAGCUUAGAAUUUUUAAAGUAUUUGUAUAUUUCAUAUUUUUAUUUGAUAAAACCUAAUCAGUUUACAUAGCAGUGGGGCCCCAUUUUUUAAUUUGCCCCAGGGCCCUUGGUUACCUAGCUAUGCCACUGGUAUUACGAAAACUAUUUAAAAAAAAUGUUGAGUACCGGAAUUCAAAAUUAAAUUUAAAAUCAACCCGAGACAGCGAAAGUCAUUCUUUUUCUUUCGAAGACAUUUAAUAAAAGGCAUGCUAGGUGCGCUGUCUGGAGAAAAACUGUAGAUUAUUGGGAAACCAUAGAGCGAGUAGUUUUAGAAAGUUUCGCCGAUGAUAUGCAGGCGAAGUAAAUUGUCCCUUAGAAAUAAGGUGACACUCUACAAAACUUGCAUACGCCCCGUCAUGACCUAUGCAAGCGUAGUGUUCGCUCUCGCUCACCCGCACUAACUUAAAAUCAUUACAAGUUAUUCAAUCCCGUUUUUGCAGGAUAGCCGUCGGAGCUCCAUGGUUCGUUAGGAACGUCGACCUCAAUGACGACCUGGACUUAGAGUUCAUCAGUAAGUAUCUUCAGUCGGCGUCGAUGCGCCACUUCGAUAAAGCGGCACGACACGAGAACCCUCUCAUCGUGGCUAUUCUAACCGCAGGAUCGGUCCUGCGGUCAGAAUGGAAAGCAGUCGACGUCGCCCCAAGCACGUCAUUUCGGAUCCUCCCGAUCUACUAACGGUGCUUUUAGGUACCUCAAGCACCGGUCAUCGUUCUCGCCGAAACCGUCGCUUGCGACAAAGGGCUCGACGAGUAAAUUAACCCUCAGACACAGCCCACUGAGUUUCUCGCCAGAUCUUCUCAGUGGGUCGCGUUUCCGAUCCGGUGGUAGAUUCUGCGAAGCACGGCUCUUGCUAGGGUUCGUGUUAGCAACGUCAUCAGGCUUGAGCCCCGUGAGCUCAACUACUAGUUAUGGCGACGCUGAUAUAGCCUCUCAAGGUUAUCAGCUUAGGUAGGAAAAAAAAAGCGCUUCAGCGAUUAAUCUUAAGCCUUGUUUGGAGGUAUGGACAUAGGGAUGUUGCAAUUUCUCGGUAGACCGAUGGACAGAAUGUUUUUUUCAGCUUCGCCAGGAGCGGUAAGCGCGCACGUACUCAGUCAGGAAGAAGAUCGAAUAUCAAUAAUAUUAAGAGGCCCUAUCUAUCUAUCAUAUAUCCCCUAUUAAGGAGCAUUAAACUCAACUCCAUUCUUUCUAUUUCUCUUCUAAAUUUUUUAAGUUGAAGCCAAAUUUGAUAAGAACCUGCUAGUAUGGCGUUAGAUUUUCGUUUAAAUAUAGAACUUAACACAAGCCAAAGCUUUUUAAUAUGUUAUAGAUUUCGCUGCCACAGCUCUCGCUCCUACUUCGCAGCAUAUAAGCUAACCACGUAUCAAUCUUUGAUUGGCUCGUUCGUAACAUCAUGGUAUUUAAUACUUUUUAUUGUGAGGUCCUUAGGUAGGUUUGUUUCCAACAGUUCAGUAAGCUCUGCUAGUUAGAUAUUCUGAGAAACGACGAAUAUUUCCGGCGUGGAAGAUGAAACUCGGACAGUCUAGAAGAUCAUAGUGUUCUUUAAGCGUGUCCGUCAAAAUAGUUCAAACAGGUGCAGUGCCUAUGUAAGAACUUCUUUUAGGAAGUUUAAUUGUCUUUUGUUAGACAAUCUUUUUGAGCUCCACCUACCUACUGACUUUCAGCUUAACGUAUGAUUUCCAGUGCUCUAUGAUGGCGACCACUUAGGUACCGUACAUACUCUACGCUGAAACUUGUUUAUAAAAAUAAUUUAUUUUCUACUGUAUAAAACUUCCUCAAAAUAUCAAGAGUAGACAUUAAACAACUGAGCCGCACCCACAUUGAACAUGAUCAUCAUGACUGCCAGUAAUGUUCCUUUAAUCAAAAGUUAAAUUUUUAUGGUGAAUCAAAACAGCGUAUUUUUAGUAAAAAUUUGACAUGAACAUCUUCUUCGUCGUUUUCUCAUUACUGAGGGUCGUGACCACCUUAGUCUAGUUUUUGCACCAGCUUUCUCCAUAAUUCCUCCAUGAGCUUAAUAAACACUUUUAUUAUACAAGGUUUAUUGCACAGUUCUUAGUCUGGUCAUAAAUACUGUUACAAUUAAAAAUAAUAAUAAAUCUAUUGCAAAUAACAUUUAUUACUUUUACAGUGUGUUAGUUUAAUACAUAAAUAUAAAACAAUUUAAAAUAUAAAAAGCUUAUUCGAAGUGGUCUUCAUUGGCUGCAAUACAGUCCUUUAAACGUUGCACUCUUUCCAUGGGAAAAUUUUUCACUGCCAAUCGUUCGGAUUGUUUUCGGGACUUCAAAUAUCAUGACGUUUAGAGCAAGCCGUACUCUCUAAAACUGACCAUAAAUCAUAAUCCAGCGGAUUAAGAUCGGGACUAGACGACGGCCAGUCUUCAGCUCUGAUGAAGUCCGAAACGUUCGUUUCCAACCAAGACUGCGUAGACAGAGCUUUAUGACCUAGCGCCGAGUCUUGCUGGAAGGACCAUUCUUGAUUAUUGAACAUGGUGUUGUUAAGGGGCUUCACUACCUUCUCAAGAAUGGUAUCUUGAUACACUUGUGCCGAUGUUUUGAUACCUUUUUCACAAAAGUAUGGCUCAGUCACUCCUUCAUAGCUAAUACCCCACCAAACCAUCACUGAAGUCGGAUAGUGCCCACGUUGCACUCUGUCGACUAAUUGGGAAGCUUCCUUAGAGCUUUGAGCAUAAAUACGGUCAUUUUGUUUAUUAAAAUGUUGCUCAAUUGUAAAAAUUUUCUCAUCCGUAAACAAAAUUUUUCUAUGACCUCCCUUUGCGUACCGCUUCAGUAGUUGUUUCGAUUUUACCACCCUAUUCUCUUUUAAAUUAUCAGUUAAGAAAUGACCAGUAAGUCUCUUAUAGGCUGCAAGUCCCAAGUCAUCUUUUAAAAUACGCAACAUGUAGCCCGAGAGCCCGUGGGAUCUACCUGUAUGUAUUUGACCAGACCUGAAUUUUCGUACAUUGAGACCCCUAUACCUACCAUGCAUGAGGUGGGGACUCACUAAGCUCAAAGUGGUCGACGCGCCGAGCGCUCAGGUAGGACAGGUACCGAUUUUGACGGAUUUUAAAUCCAUUUGACCACGUCUGCCGUUUUGAAAUUUUGAAAAUAUAUGAUUAUUAUUAUCGGAAAAUAAGAAUGGCAGACCAUUAUCGCGCAUUUUACUUUGUGGCAGACCACUUUGAAAAUGCUAAAUUGCAUUGAAAAUGCAAAAUUUUGAAAGUAAUUGACUAGAUCUGCCAUUGAUUUAAUAAUAUGUUGUUUAUUAUAGUCUUAAAAACUUAUAUUGAUCACGGCAGACCUCUACAUUGCGUACAUACAUCAACAUAUAAUAAAAUCUUAGCUACUACCCGGCCAGAUGUAUAUUAUGUUUUCCGUUCACUGUUUUAGAGGAAUAUAAUUUACUUGCGAUUUACUUUAGCAAUGUAUUUACCGAAAUUAAUAUUUUUUUAUAUUAUAUAUACUAAACUUCAUUAGUUAGACAAUAAAGAAGUGAAUUUUUUAUGGAAUAAUUAUAAAUAAUACGGUAUAAUGCUGAUCAAAAAAUAAUUCAAUUCCUCAUUUUUAUCAUUCAACAUUUAACUUGCCAGCUAUACAAUGCCAAAAAAUCUAGUGAUGUAGAUGAUGGAAGGUUCCAGCUAUUCGUUAGCAACUAUAAAUAUUCAGACAUCAAUGAAAAUUAUAGAAAAAAAAAAUCAAAAAUUUGAGGCAAGCUCAAUACCACCGCAUAAGAGUGAGCUUUAUCAACAACUUUUGAGGGCCCACUAUAUUUCUUCUAUUUGGAGAAAUGCUUACAAAAAGCAACUGACAACUUUAGACCCAUUGGAGUAUGGUUGGAUUGAGCAGGACAACAUAUAUGCCUUCAAAGGGUUCGAAGGUGACCAACUUCCAUAUUUUGUGAGUGACUUAAUCACCAAUGUUCCUGUAUUCGAUUCAAUGGUUGAUGAAGACGAGUCGCCUAACGAUAAAGAUGACUCCGAUGAUGAUGAUGAUGAAUGAAGAUUGAUAUAUAUAUAUAUAUAAUAUGUAAUGCAUGCAUGAUAUAUUUGUUUAACUGAUUUAACACUUUUAAAUUUUGUCUUGACGAAAUAAAAAUGAGGAAUUGAAUUCUUUUUUGAUCAGCA